UCUGAAUCUGCGAACGGCUCCGCAAACCAGUUGUAAACCAAAGCAAGCAUACUCGGGGUUUGCCCUUCACGGGGUCGGCUACGGGUGAUACGGGUAACCCUGGUAAUUCUGAGGCUAAUACGAGAAUGUACUCCCUGGCUAACCGGGAAACUGGUAGGCUGGGGGGCGUGUGAUCUAUUUGCAAGACGAUUCCAGGAAGGGGUGCACGCUCUGACCGCGACAAAGACAGUUCUGACGGACCCUCACGGGCGAGUCGGUUUGAGCGGCUCUUGCGAAGUGCUUCUGACCUAUCAACUAGACGGCAGCGUAACGGACAUGCCAUGGU
rnacentral:rRNA from 1 species